AUCCCAUGAUGAGGACAGGCGGCCACGUACUCCUGCAGACGCUCCCAUGCUUCCGGAAUGAACUCAUCCCUUGUCUACUGGAAAUUGAAAAUCCUUCCACAAAGGGC
rfam:Oryza barthii chromosome 8, whole genome shotgun sequence.